AACAUAGUAGCCGAUCACCUUUCUAGGCUAGAACAUCUAAAACCUAAACUAAUACCCAUAAACGAUGAUUUCGCCUAUGAUAGACUGAUCGCUAGAGUAGAAACCAUUGAAAAUAAUAACCUAGAUCCUUAUGAGCAUUCCCAAAAUUCCUUAGCAAUAAGUAACGUACCCUGGUAUGCAGAUUUCGUUAAUUACCUUGCU
rnacentral:lncRNA from 1 species